rnacentral:tRNA from 1 species
GGGUAGAUGUCCGAGUGGUUGAAGGAGCACGCCUGGAACGCGUGUGUAGGGCAACUUACCGUGGGUUCGAAUCCCACUCUGCCCGCCA